AGUGAACGCUGGCGGUAGGCCUAACACAUGCAAGUCGAACGGCAGCACAGUAAGAGCUUGCUCUUACGGGUGGCGAGUGGCGGACGGGUGAGGAAUACAUCGGAAUCUACUUUUUCGUGGGGGAUAACGUAGGGAAACUUACGCUAAUACCGCAUACGACCUACGGGUGAAAGCAGGGGAUCUUCGGACCUUGCGCGAUUGAAUGAGCCGAUGUCGGAUUAGCUAGUUGGCGGGGUAAAGGCCCACCAAGGCGACGAUCCGUAGCUGGCCUGAGAGGGUGAUCAGCCACACUGGAACUGAGACACGGUCCAGACUCCUACGGGAGGCAGCAGUGGGGAAUAUUGGACAAUGGGCGCAAGCCUGAUCCAGCCAUACCGCGUGGGUGAAGAAGGCCUUCGGGUUGUAAAGCCCUUUUGUUGGGAAAGAAAAGCAGCAGGUUAAUACCCCGCUGUUCUGACGGUACCCAAAGAAUAAGCACCGGCUAACUUCGUG
rnacentral:rRNA from 1 species